GAACACAUGCGUCCGUCGUUCGGGUAA
rnacentral:sRNA from 1 species